rnacentral:rRNA from 1 species
AUACAGAGGGUGCGAGCGUUAAUCGGAAUUACUGGGCGUAAAGCGCGCGUAGGCGGCUUAUUAAGUCAGAUGUGAAAUCCCCGGGCUCAACCUGGGAACUGCAUCUGAUACUGGUAAGCUAGAGUGUGGGAGAGGGAAGUAGAAUUUCAGGUGUAGCGGUGAAAUGCAUAGAGAUCUGAAGGAAUACCAGUGGCGAAGGCGACUUCCUGGCCUAAAACUGACGCUGAGGUGCGAAAGCGUGGGUAGCAAACGGGAUUAGAAACCCCAGUAGUCC